GCAUGCUAUACAUGCAGUCGAGCGAAUGACGAAGAGCUUGCUUCUUCUGAUUUAGCGGCGGACGGGUGAGUAACACGUGGGCAACCUGCCCUGUAGAUUGGGAUAACUCCGGGAAACCGGGGCUAAUACCGAAUAAUCCAUUUCCUCACAUGGGGAGAUGUUAAAAGACGGCAUCUCGCUGUCACUACAGGAUGGGCCCGCGGCGCAUUAGCUAGUUGGUGAGGUAACGGCUCACCAAGGCGACGAUGCGUAGCCGACCUGAGAGGGUGAUCGGCCACACUGGGACUGAGACACGGCCCAGACUCCUACGGGAGGCAGCAGUAGGGAAUCUUCCACAAUGGACGAAAGUCUGAUGGAGCAAUGCCGCGUGAGUGAAGAAGGUUUUCGGAUCGUAAAACUCUGUUGUGAGGGAAGAACAAGUACGAGAGUAACUGCUCGUACCUUGACGGUACCUCAUUAGAAAGCCACGGCUAACUACGUGCCAGCAGCCGCGGUAAUACGUAGGUGGCAAGCGUUGUCCGGAAUUAUUGGGCGUAA
rnacentral:rRNA from 1 species